rnacentral:ncRNA from 1 species
GCCUGAGGACGGCCUCACCAUUCUGGUCAUCAUGCGGGACGGCCCGC